GAUGAACGCUGGCGGCGUGCCUAACACAUGCAAGUCGAGCGAUUCUCCUCGGAGAAGAGCGGCGGACGGGUGAGUAACGCGUGGGUAACCUGCCCUGUACACACGGAUAACAUACCGAAAGGUAUGCUAAUACGAGAUAAUAUGCUUUUAUCGCAUGGUAGAAGUAUCAAAGCUCCGGCGGUACAGGAUGGACCCGCGUCUGAUUAGCUAGUUGGUAAGGUAACGGCUUACCAAGGCGACGAUCAGUAGCCGACCUGAGAGGGUGAUCGACCACAUUGGAACUGAGACACGGUCCAAACUCCUACGGGAGGCAGCAGUGGGGAAUAUUGCACAAUGGGCGAAAGCCUGAUGCAGCAACGCCGCGUGAGCGAUGAAGGCCUUCGGGUCGUAAAGCUCUGUCCUCAAGGAAGAUAAUGACGGUACUUGAGGAGGAAGCCCCGGCUAACUACGUGCCAGCCGCCGCCGUAA
rnacentral:rRNA from 1 species